rnacentral:rRNA from 1 species
GACGAACGCUGGCGGCGGGCUUAACACAUGCAAGUCGAACGGAAAGGCCCUGCUUUUGUGGGGUGCUCGAGUGGCGAACGGGUGAGUAACACGUGAGUAACCUGCCCUUGACUUUGGGAUAACUUCAGGAAACUGGGGCUAAUACCGGAUAGGAGCUCCUGCUGCAUGGUGGGGGUUGGAAAGUUUCGGCGGUUGGGGAUGGACUCGCGGCUUAUCAGCUUGGUGGUGGGGUAGUGGCUUACCAAGGCUUUGACGGGUAGCCGGCCUGAGAGGGUGACCGGCCAAGUUGGGACUGAGAUACGGCACAGACUCCUACGGGAGGCAGCAGUGGGGAAUAUUGCACAGUGGGCGGAGGCCUGAUGCAGCAACGCCGCGUGCGGGAUAACAGCCUUCGGGUUGGAAACCGCUUUCGCCUGUGACGAGGCGUGAGUGACGGUAAUGGGUAAAGAAGCACCGGCUAACUACGUG